AUGGAAAAGCCAUUACCAACAAUGAGGUUCCAGGCCAUCAUCCAAUGUCAUUGUGAAUUGGCCCAUCUCAUUACCUGUUGAGCUUCUGCUGCUGCCCUGGUGUCGCCACAUUAGACGCAUGACAGCCACUGGCUGCUGAGGCUGUGGCUCUCCUGUAAUGCUGUAGCCUGUGGAGUGUUCACCUGUCUCCAGAUCACAGCACGGAACAGAGGGAGACUGAGGUGAUGGAUCUUCAGACCUUGGGGAAGGUCAUGAGCGAAUGGUGUGGAAGACUGAAGACCUAAUGCUGUUCUCAUGAGGUUCAUCAAAUAUCAUUGCUUCAUCCUGGUCUGCCG